UGUGAGGUGGCCGAGAGGCUGAAGGUAUGCGGUCAAAAGCUGCAUCCGGGGUUCGAAUCCCCGCCUCACCGCCA
rnacentral:tRNA from 1 species